rnacentral:rRNA from 1 species
UACGGGGGGGGCAAGCGUUGUUCGGAAUUACUGGGCGUAAAGGGCGCGUAGGCGGCCUUCUAAGUCAGACGUGAAAUCCCUCGGCUCAACCGAGGAACUGCGUCUGAUACUGGAAGGCUUGAAUCCGGGAGAGGGAUGUGGAAUUCCAGGUGUAGCGGUGAAAUGCGUAGAUAUCUGGAGGAACACCGGUGGCGAAGGCGGCUCACUGGCCCGAUACUGACGCUGAGGCACGAAAGCGUGGGGAGCAAACAGG